rnacentral:rRNA from 1 species
GCUCCCCGAAGGAAAUGACCGGGGAAUGGGUGAUUAACACGUGGGUAACCUGCCCAUCAGAAGGGGAUAACACUUGGAAACAGGUGCUAAUACCGUAUAACAAUAGAAACCGCAUGGUUUCUAUUUGAAAGGCGCUUUUGCGUCACUGAUGGAUGGACCCGCGGUGCAUUAGCUAGUUGGUGAGGUAACGGCUCACCAAGGCAACGAUGCAUAGCCGACCUGAGAGGGUGAUCGGCCACAUUGGGACUGAGACACGGCCCAAACUCCUACGGGAGGCAGCAGUAGGGAAUCUUCGGCAAUGGACGAAAGUCUGACCGAGCAACGCCGCGUGAGUGAAGAAGGUUUUCGGAUCGUAAAACUCUGUUGUUAGAGAAGAACAAGGAUGAGAGUAGAAUGUUCAUCCCUUGACGGUAUCUAACCAGAAAGCCACGGCUAACUACGUGCCAGCAGCCGCGGUAAUACGUAGGUGGCAAGCGUUGUCCGGAUUUAUUGGGCGUAAAGCGAGCGCAGGCGGUUUCUUAAGUCUGAUGUGAAAGCCCCCGGCUCAACCGGGGAGGGUCAUUGGAAACUGGGAAACUUGAGUGCAGAAGAGGAGAGUGGAAUUCCAUGUGUAGCGGUGAAAUGCGUAGAUAUAUGGAGGAACACCAGUGGCGAAGGCGGCUCUCUGGUCUGUAACUGACGCUGAGGCUCGAAAGCGUGGGGAGCAAACAGGAUUAGAUACCCUGGUAGUCCACGCCGUAAACGAUGAGUGCU